CCUACGGGAGGCAGCAGUGAGGAAUAUUGGUCAAUGGGCGGGAGCCUGAACCAGCCAAGUCGCGUGAAGGAAGAAGGUACUUAGUAUUUUAAACUUCUUUUGUCGGGGAACAAAGGCGGAGACGCGUCUCCGGAUGAGUGUACCCGAAGAAAAAGCAUCGGGAAACUCCGUUCCAGCAGCGGCGGUAAUACGGGGGAAGCGAGCGUUAUCCGGAUUUAUGGGGGUAAAAGGGUGCGCAGGCGGGAGAUCAAGUCAGCGGUAAAAUGUCGGGGCUCAACCCCGGCCGGCCGUUGAAACUGGUUAUCUAGAGUUGGAGAGAAGUAUGCGGAAUUCGUGGUGUAGCGGUGAAAUGCAUAGAUAUCACGAAGAACUCCGAUUGCGAAGGCAGCAUACCGGCUCCAUACUGACGCUGAGGCACGAAAGCGUGGGGAUCGAACAGGAUUAGAUACCCGGGUAGUC
rnacentral:rRNA from 1 species